AGUGUCAGAAUUUUCCAGAAACCAAAGAGAAACCAGGGCAUGUGCCCCUUGACUCAAUGACAUCUAACCAAUCCUGCUCACUCCUCAGACCUGGUAGUCCAGAACCCAGCCAUGUCACCGCAAAGGUGGGGAAUGUAACAGUAGAGCCAGAAGCAUUUCUUCUAAAAGGCAGACUGAUGCCGUGAGCUUCCGUACGGGCUGGGGACUAGAGAAGGUGACUCGGAACCAUUCCCAGCCUUGCCCACAGAUGGCAAGAUGAGGUACUGACUCUCAAAUUCUGGCUUAAUUAACAACUAGGUCAUCUGUCCAGGGCUCCUUGUCACAAGGAAGGACAAAUAAACUAGCAAUGGUUCUCCAAGGCCUCGUGCCUCAGCCCAACAUGCCACCUACAUCUCAAGCAGGGUUUUUUCCAGAAAGCUCCCUGGUUUGGGGUCUCCAAAGAGGUCAAAGGCUGAGAACUAAGGCGGUCAGGCCCAGAGCUAUAUAGGCAGAACACCCCCUCAGGUGGCAGGAGACAUAUAUAUUUGAUCUGGUCUCAUGCUAAGAAGCCUGGGGAAUGGUCACCUUCUGAGACUAUUGAGACUGGGCACUCCCUGUGUUCUCUGUCCAACACUGCUGGAGAAUCAGCUCUGUCUAUAAGUCAAGCUUUGAGGAAUACACGGCAGCCUAGUUCCACAGAAGCACACACAGCCAACUUAGAAACAGCAACAAAGAAACAACUGCAGGCACUGAGAUCAACAUACGGAAAACACGAGAUCACUUAGAUAUUGCACAUCGGCGGCCCCUUAUUUUUUUUUUUUAUCUUGUAGCUAAUUAAUAGUAAAAACGAAGGGUACACGGGGUAUAAAUUAUGGAACACAUUCCUGAAAGCAGCUGGUUCUUUGUAUUUCGUCACU
rnacentral:lncRNA from 1 species